CCUACGGGAGGCAGCAGUAGGGAAUAUUGGACAAUGGGCGAAAGCCUGAUCCAGCAAUGCCGCGUGGGUGAGGAAGGCCCUAGGGUUGUAAAGCUCUUUCGGCGGGGACGAUGAUGACGGUACCCGCAGAAGAAGCCCCGGCUAACUUCGUGCCAGCAGCCGCGGUAAUACGAAGGGGGCGAGCGUUGUUCGGAUUUACUGGGCGUAAAGGGCGCGUAGGCGGCGUGGCAAGUCGAGUGUGAAAGCCCCUGGCUCAACCUGGGAAUGGCGCUCGAGACUGUUGCGCUGGAGUUCGGGAGAGGAGCGUGGAAUUCCCAGUGUAGAGGUGAAAUUCGUAGAUAUUGGGAAGAACACCGGUGGCGAAGGCGGCGCUCUGGACCGAGACUGACGCUGAGGCGCGAAAGCGUGGGGAGCAAACAGGAUUAGAUACCCUGGUAGUCCACGCUGUAAACGAUGUGUGCUAGACGUUGGGGAGCCUAGCUCUUCGGUGUCGCCGCCAACGCUUUAAGCACACCGCCUGGGGAGUACGGCCGCAAGGUUAAAACUCAAAGGAAUUGACGG
rnacentral:rRNA from 1 species